AUUUAAAUAGUUUAAUUAAAAAUAUUGAUUUGUGGAAUCAAAGAUAUUUAUGUUAAGAAUUUUAAAUU
rnacentral:tRNA from 1 species